GAUGAACGCUGGCGGCGUGCCUAAUACAUGCAAGUCGAGCGAACAGACGAGGAGCUUGCUCCUCUGACGUUAGCGGCGGACGGGUGAGUAACACGUGGAUAACCUACCUAUAAGACUGGGAUAACUUCGGGAAACCGGAGCUAAUACCGGAUAAUAUAUUGAACCGCAUGGUUCAAUAGUGAAAUACGGUUUUUCUUUCACUUAUAGAUGGAUCCGCGCCGCAUUAGCUAGUUGGUAAGGUAACGGCUUACCAAGGCAACGAUGCGUAGCCGACCUGAGAGGGUGAUCGGCCACACUGGAACUGAGACACGGUCCAGACUCCGACGGGAGGCAGCAGUAGGGAAUCUUCCGCAAUGGGCGAAAGCCUGACGGAGCAACGCCGCGUGAGUGAUGAAGGUCUUCGGAUCGUAAAACUCUGUUAUUAGGGAAGAACAAAUGUGUAAGUAACUAUGCACGUAUUGACGGUACCUAAUCAGAAAGCCACGGCUAACUACGUG
rnacentral:rRNA from 1 species